CAUGUCCUUUUGAAAAUGAUUUAAGGUCUGGCCUGCCCACUGAAAGUUUUUGAAGGGCCGCGAUAUGUUGAUCGUGCGAAGGUAGCAUAAUCAAUAGUUUCUUAAUUAGAAGCUGGAAUGAAUGGUUGGACGAGAAAACGACUGUCUCAAGGAUAAUUAUAUAUGAAUUUUAUCUUUAAGUUAAAAAGCUUAAAUUUAUUUUAAAGACGAGAAGACCCUAUAGAGUUUUAUAGAUUAAAUUUCUAGGUCUUAAGGUAUUAAAUAUCUAGUUUUUUACUCUAUUUGGUUGGGGUGACAGAAGGAUAUGAUAAACUCCUUUUUAUUUUUAAUAUUAAUAUGUAAAUUUUUGAUCCAGAUUUUCUGAUCAAAAGACUAAAUUACCUUAGGGAUAACAGCGUGAUUUUUUUUGAGAGUUCUUAUCGAAAGAAAAGUUUGCGACCUCGAUGUUGGAUUAAGAUUAACUUUGGGUGCAGCAGCUGAGGGGUUAAGUCUGUUCGACUUUUAAAAUCUUACAUGAUCUGAGU
rnacentral:rRNA from 1 species